rnacentral:rRNA from 1 species
GAAUUUUGGACAGUGGGCGAAAGCCUGAUCCAGCAAUGCCGCGUGCAGUACUAAGGCCCUCGGGUUGUAAACUGCUUUUCUACGGAGCGAAACGAUUUAGGUUAAUACCCUAGCGUCAUGCCGGUACCUUACCAAUAAACACCAGCUAACUCCGUGCCAGCAGCCGCGGUAAUACGUAGGGUGCAAGCGUUAAGCGGAAUUACUGGGCGUAAAGCGUGCGCAGGCGGUUUUGUAAGACAGAGGUGAAAUCCCCGGGCUCAACCUGGGAACUGGCUUUGUGACUGCAAGGCUAGAGUACGGCAGAGGGGGGUGGAAUUCCGCGUGUAGCAGUGAAAUGCGUAGAUAUGCGGAGGAACACCGAUGGCGAAGGCAACCCCCUGGGCCUGUACUGACGCUCAUGCACGAAGGCGUGGGGAGCAAACAGG